AGUGGGCUGGACAGCCGCGUGGGCAGGGCGAAAGGCCUGCCUAUGAGGAAAGUCCGGGCUCCAUAGGGCAAGGAUAACGGGUAACGCCCGCCGAAGGCGACUUCAGGACAAGUGCAACAGAGAUAUACCGCCCCGCUUGCGGGGUAAGGGUGGAAAGGCGAGGUAAGAGCUCACCGGCCGACUGGGAACUGCUCGGCCCUGUAAACUCUAUCCGGAGCAACACCGUGGAGGGACAUAUGGCUGGCCCGGCCGUCCCGGGGAGGUGGCUAGAGCCUGCCGGCAACGGCAGGUCGAGAUAGAUGGCUGUCAAAACAGAACCCGGCUUACAGGCCCGCUUG
rnacentral:RNase_P_RNA from 1 species